rnacentral:lncRNA from 1 species
CAAUAAUAGCUUAUGGAGCCUAGUGAAAGGCAUCUUUAUUAAACCCUUGUCUCCCUUCUGUAAGCAAAUACGACUCGAGGGAGACUAUCAGUAGAGAGACCUAAUACCCAGAAUGCCUCAACCCAAACAAAAUUCAUUGAGUUGUUCUGAGCUAUUUAAGAUUUGACUGCUGCUAUGGACCAUAACCUUACUCAUAACACCAAUUGCCCUUAUCUUACAGAUGAACACUGUCAUCCUAAGCAUGUCAUAUCACACAAUAUCUCAGAGUUCCAGAAGCUGAACCCUCCUUAUAUUAAUGGUGGACCAGAUCACAUGGUUAUCGAAGCAUGGAUCGUGCAUAUGGAGAAGCUAUUCUUUGUUCUUGAACUACUUAGGGUUUGACUAUUGUUGUGGACCAUAACCUUACUCAUAACACCAACUGCCCUUAU